rnacentral:rRNA from 1 species
AGAGUUUGAUCCUGGCUCAGGAUGAACGCUAGCGACAGGCCUAACACAUGCAAGUCGAGGGGCAUCGGGGCGAGGAGCAAUCCUUGCCGCCGGCGACCGGCGCACGGGUGAGUAACGCGUAUGCGACCUGCCCGUUGCAGGGGGAUAAUCGGGAGAAAUCCCGUCUAAUACCGCGUAAUGCCGCGGGGCUGCAUGGCCCUGCGGCCAAAGGAAGCGAUUCCGGCAACGGAUGGGCAUGCGUGACAUUAGCUAGUUGGCGGGGCAACGGCCCACCAAGGCGACGAUGUCUAGGGGUUCUGAGAGGAAGGUCCCCCACACUGGUACUGAGACACGGACCAGACUCCUACGGGAGGCAGCAGUGAGGAAUAUUGGUCAAUGGGCGCGAGCCUGAACCAGCCAAGUCGCGUGAGGGAUGACGGCCCUACGGGUUGUAAACCUCUUUUGUCGGGGAGCAAAUUCCGCCACGCGUGGCGGAAUCGAGAGUACCCGAAGAAAAAGCAUCGGCUAACUCCGUGCCAGCAGCCGCGGUAAUACGGAGGAUGCGAGCGUUAUCCGGAUUUAUUGGGUUUAAAGGGUGCGUAGGCGGACUGUCAAGUCAGCGGUAAAAUACGGGGGCUCAACCUCCGCCCGCCGUUGAAACUGACGGUCUUGAGUGGGCGAGAAGUAUGCGGAAUGCGUGGUGUAGCGGUGAAAUGCAUAGAUAUCACGCAGAACUCCGAUUGCGAAGGCAGCAUACCGGCGCCCAACUGACGCUGAAGCACGAAAGCGUGGGUAUCGAACAGGAUUAGAUACCCUGGUAGUCCACGCAGUAAACGAUGAAUGAUGAUUGUCCGGAGGGAUGGACCUCUGGGUGAAUACAGGGGAAAGCGUUAAGCAUUCCACCUGGGGAGUACGCCGGCAACGGUGAAACUCAAAGGAAUUGACGGGGGGCCCGCACAAGGCGGAGGAACAUGUGGUUUAAUUCGAUGAUACGCGAGGAACCUUACCCGGGCUCAAACGGGGAGUGACUCAGGCAGGAGACGCCUGUUUCCCACGGGACACUCCCCGAGGUGCUGCAUGGUUGUCGUCAGCUCGUGCCGUGAGGUGUCGGCUUAAGUGCCAUAACGAGCGCAACCCCCGCGUGCAGUUGCUAACAGAUAACGCUGAGGACUCUGCACGGACUGCCGGCGCAAGCCGCGAGGAAGGCGGGGAUGACGUCAAAUCAGCACGGCCCUUACGUCCGGGGCGACACACGUGUUACAAUGGGUGGUACAGCGGGAAGCCAGGCGGCGACGCCGAGCGGAACCCGAAAUCCACUCUCAGUUCGGAUCGGAGUCUGCAACCCGACUCCGUGAAGCUGGAUUCGCUAGUAAUCGCGCAUCAGCCAUGGCGCGGUGAAUACGUUCCCGGGCCUUGCACUCACCGCCC